rnacentral:rRNA from 1 species
UACGUAGGGGGCGAGCGUUGUCCGGAUUCAUUGGGCGUAAAGAGCUCGUAGGCGGCUUGGCAAGUCGGAUGUGAAAACUCCAGGCUCAACCUGGAGCCGCCAUUCGAUACUGCUAUGGCUAGAGUCCGGUAGGGGAGUGUGGAAUUCCCGGUGGAGCGGUGAAAUGCGCAGAUAUCGGGAGGAACACCGAUGGCGAAGGCAGCACUCUGGGCCGGUACUGACGCUGAGGAGCGAAAGCGUGGGGAGCGAACAGG